ACACAUGCAAGUCGAACGAUUUGGUGGUGGGUCACCAACGACUCACUGUCAAAUAGUGGCGGACGGGUGAGUAACGCGUGGAUAACCUACCCAGCUGACAGGGACAACACCGGGAAACCGGUGCUAAUACCCGAUACGCUCGUAUUUACACGAUGUAGAUAUGAGGAAAGGAGAGAUCCGCAGUUGGAUGGGUCCGCGUCCCAUUAGCUAGUUGGCGGUGCAAGAGACCACCAAGGCGACGAUGGGUAGCCGGCCUGAGAGGGUGGACGGCCACACUGGAACUGAGACACGGUCCAGACUCCUCCGGGAGGCAGCAGUGGGGAAUCUUCCGCAGUGGGCGAAAGCCUGACGGAGCAACGCCGCGUGAGCGAAGAAGGCCUUCGGGUUGUAAAGCUCUGUUUUCGGGGAAGAAGGAAGUGACGGUACCCGAGGAGGAAGCCCCGGCUAACUACGUGCCAGCAGCCGCGGUAAAACGUAGGGGGCGAGCGUUGUCCGGAAUUACUGGGCGUAAAGGGCGCGCAGGCGGUCAUUUAAGACAGAGGUGAAAACUAUCGGCUCAACCGGUAGCCUGCCUAUGAGACUGGAUGACUUGAGGGCAGGAGAGGGGAGUGGAAUUCCCAGUGUAGCGGUGAAAUGCGUAGAUAUUGGGAGGAACACCAGUGGCGAAGGCGGCUCUCUGGCCUGUUACUGACGCUGAGGCGCGAAAGCGUGGGGAUCAAACAGGAUUAGAUACCCUGGUAGUCCACGCCGUAAACGAUGGGUGCUAGGUGUAGGAGGUAUCGACCCCUUCUGUGCCGCAGUUAACACAAUAAGCACCCCGCCUGGGGAGUACGGCCGCAAGGUUGAAACUCAAAGGAAUUGACGGGGGCCCGCACAAGCGGUGGAGCAUGUGGUUUAAUUCGACGCAACGCGAAGAACCUUACCAGGGCUUGACAUCCCCUGGCAGUUGUGGAAACACAGCAUUCUAUUUUCGGAUAGACAGGGAGACAGGUGGUGCAUGGUUGUCGUCAGCUCGUGUCGUGAGAUGUUGGGUUAAGUCCCGCAACGAGCGCAACCCUUACGUUUAGUUACUAACGGGUGAAGCCGAGGACUCUAGACGAACUGCCGUUGAUAAAACGGAGGAAGGCGGGGAUGACGUCAAAUCAUCAUGCCCCUUAUGUUCUGGGCCACACACGUGCUACAAUGGCCGGUACAGAGGGAAGCGAAGGGGCGACCCGGAGCAAAUCCCGAAAAAGCCGGUCUCAGUUCGGAUUGCAGGCUGCAACUCGCCCGCAUGAAGUCGGAAUCGCUAGUAAUCGCAGGUCAGCAUACUGCGGUGAAUACGUUCCCGGGCCUUGUACACACCGCCCGUCACACCACGAAAGCCGACAACACCCGAAGCCGGUGAGCUAACCCGU
rnacentral:rRNA from 1 species